rnacentral:tRNA from 1 species
GCGCUGUUAGCUCAGCCGGUAGAGCACCGGCCUUUUAAGCCGAGGGCCGCCGGUUCGAUUCCGGCACAGCGCA